rnacentral:rRNA from 1 species
UACGGGGGGGCAAGCGUUGUUCGGAAUUACUGGGCGUAAAGGGCGCGUAGGCGGCCUUCUAAGUCGGACGUGAAAUCCCUCGGCUCAACCGAGGAACUGCGUCUGAUACUGGAAGGCUUGAAUCCGGGAGAGGGAUGUGGAAUUCCAGGUGUAGCGGUGAAAUGCGUAGAUAUCUGGAGGAACGCCAGUGGCGAAGGCGGCAUCCUGGACCGGCAUUGACGCUGAGGCGCGAAAGCUAGGGGAGCAAACGGG